rnacentral:rRNA from 1 species
UCGGAAUUACUGGGCGUAAAGCGCACGUAGGCGGGUUUGUUAGUCAGGGGGGAAAUCCCGGGGCUCAACCUCGGAACUGCCUUUGAUACUGCAAAUCUCGAGUCCGAUAGAGGUGGGUGGAAUUCCUAGUGUAGAGGUGAAAUUCGUAGAUAUUAGGAAGAACACCGGUGGCGAAGGCGGCCCACUGGAUCGGUACUGACGCUGAGGUGCGAAAGCGUGGGGAGCGAACAGG